rnacentral:rRNA from 1 species
AUUGAACGCUGGCGGCAGGCCUAACACAUGCAAGUCGAGCGAGCGGCGGAAGGGUGAGUAAUGUCUGGGAAACUGCCUGAUGGAGGGGGAUAACUACUGGAAACGGUAGCUAAUACCGCAUACCAUCAGAUGUGCCCAGAGGGGAUUAGCUAGUAGGUGGGGUAACGGCUAACCUAGGCGACGAACCCUAGCUGGUCUGAAAGGAUGACCAGCCACACUUGAGCUGAGACACGGUCCAGACUCCUACAGGAGGCAGCAGUGGGGAAUAUUGCACAAUGGACGCAAGCCUGAUACAGCCAUGACGCGUGUGUGAAGAAGGCCUUCGGGUUGUAAAGCACUUUCAGCGGGGAGGCGUUACCCGCAGAAGAAGCACCGGCUAACUCCGUGCCAGCAGCCGCGGUAAUUC